rnacentral:rRNA from 1 species
GGCUCAGGACGAACGCUGGCGGCGUGCCUAACACAUGCAAGUCGAGCGAGGAGAUCCUCGGGAUGAUCCUAGCGGCGGACGGGUGAGUAACACGUGGGCAACCUGCCUCAUAGAGAGGAAUAGCCUUCCGAAAGGGAGAUUAAUACCUCAUAACAUUGCAGUUUCGCAUGGAACAGCAAUUAAAGGAGUAAUCCGCUAUGAGAUGGGCCCCGCGGCGCAUUAGCUAGUUGGUGAGGUAACGGCUCACCAAGGCGACGAUGCGUAGCCGACCUGAGAGGGUGAUCGGCCACAUUGGGACUGAGACACGGCCCAGACUCCUACGGGAGGCAGCAGUGGGGAAUAUUGCACAAUGGGGGAAACCCUGAUGCAAGCAACGCCGCGUGAGUGAUGACGGCCUUCGGGUUGUAAAGCUCUGUCUUCAGGGACGAUAAUGACGGUACCUGAGGAGGAAGCCACGGCUAACUACGUGCCAGCAGCGGC